rnacentral:rRNA from 1 species
GACGAACGCUGGCGGCGUGCUUAACACAUGCAAGUCGAACGGAAAGGCCCUGCUUUUGUGGGGUGCUCGAGUGGCGAACGGGUGAGUAACACGUGAGUAACCUGCCCUUGACUUUGGGAUAACUUCAGGAAACUGGGGCUAAUACCGGAUAGGAGCUCCUGCUGCAUGGUGGGGGUUGGAAAGUUUCGGCGGUUGGGGAUGGACUCGCGGCUUAUCAGCUUGUUGGUGGGGUAGUGGCUUACCAAGGCUUUGACGGGUAGCCGGCCGGUGAGGGUGACCGGCCACAUUGGGACUGAGGUACGGCCCAGACUCCUACGGGAGGCAGCAGUGGGGAAUAUUGCACAAUGGGCGGAAGCCUGAUGCAGCAACGCCGCGUGCGGGAUGACGGCCUUCGGGUUGUAAACCGCUUUCGCCUGUGACGAAGCGUGAGUGACGGUAAUGGGUAAAGAAGCACCGGCUAACUACGUG